UUUUGCCUACGGGAGGCAGCAGUUAGGAAUAUUCGUCAAUGGGGGAAACCCUGAACGAGCAAUGCCGCGUGAACGAUGACGGUCCUCUGGAUUGUAAAGUUCUGUUGUUUGGGAAGAACGGCUCUAAUAGGAAAUGAUUAGAGAUUGACUGUACCAUUCAAGAAAGCCACGGCUAACUACGUGCCAGCAGCCGCGGUAAUACGUAGGGAGCGAGCGUUGUCCGGAAUUACUGGGCGUAAAGGGCGCGUAGGCGGGAACUUAAGUUAGAUGUGAAAACUCCGGGCUUAACCUGGAGACUGCAUUUA
rnacentral:rRNA from 1 species